GAAGUCACACAAGGAGAAUACUAGACAAGGAACACCAGAGGCUACCAGCAGCUAAGAGACAGGCCUGGAACAGAUCCUGCUCUCACAACCCUGAGAAGGAGUCAACCCUGCCAACACCUUGAUUUCAGACUUCUAACUUCCAGACUGUGAAACAACAGAUUUGGGGUAAGAAAAGCCGGAAUCUCCUUUUCAUUUGUACUUCGGGAUUUCUAACAUUUUCAUGAGGUUUUUGUAUUUCCUCGGUGAAUUACGUUAAUCAUCCUUUGCUUGUGGUGUCCCAGGGUCACAACGAGGGGAAAAUGCAACGUGAUGUGUACGGCACCAGGCACAAAAGCCGGUUGCGCUGAUGACAAACCCCAAGGAUCAGGAGUCAACCCAGAUGGAACUGUCUCCAAGCAGCUCUUUACGCAAGAUCGUCCAGUCCACAUCAAAGGAAGGGAGAGGCGCCGAUAGAGGUUAGAGGGAGACCAAAGCCUUCUCAAGCCAUCCGUGGCUCCACCUCUGCACGUACCAUGCCCAGAGGAUGCCCUCGUGGGCGCACACAAUCCCGCAAACACACACGAUGUGGGGUCACCUGCAGCACCACCCCUCUCUGAGCACCGUCACUCAGCACCCAGCAUUCUUUGUUCACCUACACACCUCUUACCCACCACUCCCUUUAUAUCUGCCUUUGUACCUGCACUUAGCAGUUCCCCAAAGACAGGAAUUGGGGCUCCCUCUGUCUCCCUGGGCCCUCUAUUGCCCAGCAAUGCCCAACACGUGGUGAAGCACGUGACAGUGAGUGGAAGAAAAGGGUCCUUGAAUGGUAAGUGAUGAGUGAAAGCAUUUUGUUAACCAGACAGGGCUGUGCGAAUAUGAGGGCUUUGGUCAUUAUGACAGUAAUUUAAAUCAUAGAGGUUCAGGACAUGAACAUAUCUUACAGGUUUACUGAAUCCUCCCGUUAGACGGAUGAGGAAACUGAGGUCCAGAAAGGACUGCCAGAGAUCACUCAUGGAGGAUGUCCUGCUUGAACCUCAACUAAAAAAAUCUCCUAACUCCCAGGGGAGAAGGGAUUCCUCCAUGGCCCCUCCCCCAGGCCAUUCUCCUCAGACCACGCCCCCUCCCCUGCCGGGCUCAAGCCGGCACAGACACAGGGAAGCCCAGAAGGAAGGGCCCAGUCUUCCUUCCUCCCGUGACUGCCUUCUUCCAGACACCCGAGAGUCAUGAGUGUAUCUGGGGUUCUUGAGGGCUGAAGAUGACGAGGUGCUGCUGUAAAGAAGCUGUGAAGUCUGAGUUUGCACUUCAGUGGAAGGCAGCGGCAGUGACAGCAGCGUGUGGAGGGGAAAACUGGAGGCUUAGCUCGGAAGCUCCCAGUGGAGCCGGGGGCAGUGGAAUCAGCAUGGACUCCAGAGCCAGGCCAACCUGGUUUUGACUCCUGACUCUGACGCUCAGCUGGGGGGUCACUUGGCAAGUUACUUCAUCCACAAGCCUCAGUUCCCCUCACCUGUCAUAUAGGAAUACUA